AAUCUACGGCUCUUUUCCGAGGUAGCUCACAAGAUCACAGCAAGGUCCAUUAUACAUUUGAUUUUAGUCAAUAUGUGAAAUUACCUCAUCACGCAAGGGAGAAAGGACCUACCUUCUUUAUACAGCCACGCAAGGUGCAGAUGUUUGGCUUCAGAAUAGAUGGAUAUCGCCAGUACAACUAUUUAAUAGAUGAAGACCAGACAAUAGGUGUAGACGGACAAUUGGCACAUGGACCCGAUUCUGUGAUCUCCAUGUUGGACCACGCCUUUGGUACGUUUUGUCACCAGGGAGGAGAUUGCACAAUACAUGCUGAUAACUGUUUUGGU